GGGAUGGGGACACUGUCUGGUGGGUAGUUUGACUGGGGCGGUCUCCUCCCAAAGAGUAACGGAGGAGCACGAAGGUUGGCUAAGUACGGUCGGACAUCGUACGGUUAGUGCAAUGGCAUAAGCCAGCUUAACUGCGAGACAGACACGUCGAGCAGGUACGAAAGUAGGUCAUAGUGAUCCGGUGGUUCUGUAUGGAAGGGCCAUCGCUCAACGGAUAAAAGGUACUCCGGGGAUAACAGGCUGAUACCGCCCAAGAGUUCAUAUCGACGGCGGUGUUUGGCACCUCGAUGUCGGCUCAUCACAUCCUGGGGCUGAAGUCGGUCCCAAGGGUAUGGCUGUUCGCCAUUUAAAGUGGUACGCGAGCUGGGUUUAGAACGUCGUGAGACAGUUCGGUCCCUAUCUGCCGUGGGCGUUUGAGAAUUGAAGAGGGCUGCUCCUAGUACGAGAGGACCGGAGUGGACGAACCUCUGGUGUUCCGGUUGUCACGCCAGUGGCAUUGCCGGGUAGCUAUGUUCGGAACUGAUAACCGCUGAAAGCAUCUAAGCGGGAAGCAGGCUUUGAGAUGAGUUCUCACUGGGACUUUAAGUCCCCUGAAGGGUCGUCGGAGACUACGACGUUGAUAGGCAGGGUGUGUAAGCGUUGUGAGGCGUUGAGCUAACCUGUACUAAUUGCCCGUGAGGCUUAACCAUACAACACCAAAG
rnacentral:rRNA from 1 species